rnacentral:misc_RNA from 1 species
UUUUAAUCACAGCCCAACUUGAGCGGAACUCUUUUUUGUAAAACAAAAAAAGCGGAAGCGGAAGGUGGUUAAUAGC